UACGUAGGGUGCAAGCGUUAAUCGGAAUUACUGGGCGUAAAGCGUGCGCAGGCGGUCUUGCAAGACAGGUGUGAAAUCCCCGGGCUUAACCUGGGAACUGCACUUGUGACUGCAAGGCUGGAGUACGGCAGAGGGGGAUGGAAUUCCGCGUGUAGCAGUGAAAUGCGUAGAUAUGCGGAGGAACACCGAUGCGGAAGGCAAUCCCCUGGGCCGUACU
rnacentral:rRNA from 1 species